GACGAACGCUGGCGGCGUGCUUAACACAUGCAAGUCGAACGGAAAGGCCCUGCUUUUGUGUGGUGUUCGCGUGGCGAACGGGUGAGUAACACGUGAGUCUCCUGCCCUUUACUUUAGGAUAACUUCAGACAACCGGGGCUACUACCGGAUAGGUGCUCCUGCUGCAUGGUGGGGGUUGGACCGUUUCGGCGGUUGGGGAUGGACUCGCGGCUUAUCAGCUUGUUGGUGGGGUGGUGGCUUACCAAGGCUUUGACGGGUAGUCGGCCUGAGAGGGUGACCGGCCACAUUGGGACUGAGAGACGGCACAGACUCCUAAGGGAGGCAGCAGUGGGGAAUAUUGCACCAUGGACGGAGGCCUGAUGCAGAAAGGCCGCGUGCGGGAUGGCGGUCUUCGGGUUGAAAACCGCUUUGGACUGAGACGAAGCGUGAGUGACGGUAAUGGGUAGAGAAGGACCGGCCAAAUAUGUU
rnacentral:rRNA from 1 species